rnacentral:lncRNA from 1 species
UAUCCAUUCCAUUAGGUGUGUGCGCGCCGCGUGCACGAUCGCCGGAAGAUUUUCUACCCUAGCAACACCGGCGGGUCGGCUGUGGAGCCCCCUAGAGUGGCGCCUUCAUGGCGCUGAAUAUAUAUCCCAGCCGACCCGGCGCCCCCUCAGUUCCUUCUUACCGCCCCUGACGGUCGUUGGAACUGUGGAGCGCUGCUUAGCUGUUCUCCACUCUCCCUAGCUUAGUUAGUUAUUCGCAGUUAUAGUUAUAGUUGUAGUUCUAGUGUUUACAGUUUAAUAGUUAAAUAGUUUUAAAGUUGUUCUAGUUGUUAUUGUAGUUCAGGGGAUUAAGGGGGUCGUCUCCCCAUUUCUCCCCCGGCCGCGGGGCCGGGCUCAUGCCCAACGCUCCCGGCUUCAAGCAGUGCGCCUCCUGCGCUAAGCCUAUGCCCACGAGCGACCCGCACGACUCCUGUCUGAAGUGCCUGGGAGAGUCCCAUCAAACAGAUAAGUGCAAGAUCUGUAAGGCCUUCAGACCAAGGACCAAGAAGGAGCGGGACUUUCGGCUCCGGCAACUCGUGAUGGAGGCGGCACUUAGUCCGGACGCUCCAUCUACAAGCCAGGCCCCGGCACCUAGCGCCUCGGUGCGCAGUGCCCCGGCAGCACCGGCCACGAUGACCACGCGAGUGGCGUCGGACAAGCCUCCCCGGCACCGGACCUCGUCGGCACCGCAAGCACAGCAAGUGCCUCGGCGCCGGUCAUUAUCCCCGGGGCAUAAAAAAGCCCAUAAGACGGGGACCUCCGUGCCGAAGACGCCGGCUCCCCCAGUGCCGAGGGUAGAGCCGCGUCCGCCGGUGGAGCACCGGAAACAGGUGCCUCCAGCACCGUCGACUCCGGCGCCGAGGCCGUUGAGUCCGGUGCAGAUAGCGUCUCCACCGAGACCGGCGGUGAUACAGUGCCUCCCGUCGACUCCAGAGACCUUCGCGGCAGCGAGAGACUUAAUAGCUCUCACGGAGCCGGCACCGCCCCAACCACCGGCACCGACGGCACCGUUGACUCGCCCGGUCCAGUCGAGGGGGAAACCUGCCUUGAUGCGCCCUCCAUCGCAAGGGCUGGAACCUCGGCACCGAUCCAGGUCCCGAAGCAGGUCCCCACGCCGCUCGCAGUCCCGGCGCCGAAUAUCACCUCGGCACCGGUCGUACUCGCGGCCAAGAUCUUCUUCGCGGCACCGCUCUACGUCUCGGCACCGCUAUGAUCGUCGGCACCGAUCAACGUCGAGACGUAGUUCUCGGCACCGCUACGGUCGACGCUCGACGUCGAGAGGCCGCUCCCGGCACCGGGCAUACUCCAGGUCCUCGUCGAGGUCCAGAUCCGACUCCCGGCACCGACGAGGUCAUCGGCAC